rnacentral:rRNA from 1 species
GACAUUACCGAGUUUUGGGUCUCCUCAUCGAGCCCACUCUCCAACCCUUUGUGUACCUACCUCUGUUGCUUUGGCGGGCCGCGGUUCUCCGCGGCCGGCCCCUUGACCGGGGCUGGCCUGCGCCCGCCAGAGGACCACAAAACUCCAGUCAGUGAACUUUGCUGUCUGAUUUAAAUUCAAUAAACUAAAACUUUCAACAACGGAUCUCUUGGUUCUGGCAUCGAUGAAGAACGCAGCGAAAUGCGAUAAGUAAUGUGAAUUGCAGAAUUCAGUGAAUCAUCGAAUCUUUGAACGCACAUUGCGCCCUUUGGUAUUCCGAAGGGCAUGCCUGUUCGAGCGUCAUUACACCCCUCAAGCUCUGCUUGGUGUUGGGCGGCGUCCUCCCGGACGCGCCUCAAAGACCUCGGCGGUGGCGUCUUGCCUCAAGCGUAGUAGAAAACACCUCGCUUUGGAGGACGGGACGACCGCUCGCCGGACGAACCUUUGAAUUC